CCUACGGGAGGCAGCAGUGGGGAAUAUUGGACAAUGGGGGGAACCCUGAUCCAGCCAUGCCGCGUGUGUGAAGAAGGCCCUCGGGUUGUAAAGCACUUUCAGUGAGGAAGAACGCCUGGUGGUUAAUACCCAUCAGGAAAGACAUCACUCACAGAAGAAGCACCGGCUAACUCCGUGCCAGCAGCCGCGGUAAUACGGAGGGUGCGAGCGUUAAUCGGAAUUACUGGGCGUAAAGCGCGCGUAGGUGGCUUGAUAAGCCGGUUGUGAAAGCCCCGGGCUCAACCUGGGAACGGCAUCCGGAACUGUCAAGCUAGAGUGCAGGAGAGGAAGGUAGAAUUCCCGGUGUAGCGGUGAAAUGCGUAGAGAUCGGGAGGAAUACCAGUGGCGAAGGCGGCCUUCUGGACUGACACUGACACUGAGGUGCGAAAGCGUGGGUAGCAAACAGGAUUAGAUACCCAUGUAGUC
rnacentral:rRNA from 1 species